CCUACGGGGGGCAGCAGUGGGGAAUAUCGGACAAUGGGGGGAACCCUGAUCCAGCCAUGCCGCGUGUGUGAAGAAGGCCCUCGGGUUGUAAAGCACUUUCAGUGAGGAAGAACGCCUGGUGGUUAAUACCCAUCAGGAAAGACAUCACUCACAGAAGAAGCACCGGCUAACUCCGUGCCAGCAGCCGCGGUAAUACGGAGGGUGCGAGCGUUAAUCGGAAUUACUGGGCGUAAAGCGCGCGUAGGUGGCUUGAUAAGCCGGUUGUGAAAGCCCCGGGCUCAACCUGGGAACGGCAUCCGGAACUGUCAAGCUAGAGUGCAGGAGAGGAAGGUAGAAUUCCCGGUGUAGCGGUGAAAUGCGUAGAGAUCGGGAGGAAUACCAGUGGCGAAGGCGGCCUUCUGGACUGACACUGACACUGAGGUGCGAAAGCGUGGGUAGCAAACAGGAUUAGAUACCCUUGGAGUC
rnacentral:rRNA from 1 species